AAUGUCUCAUGUAAUUCUCUGAAGGAUAUUAUGAAGUAGCUGCUCUCAUUUCCACUUUAAAGAUGGUAAUAUUGGGGGCAGAAGAGUCAACUGAUUUUCGGGCUAGUCAGCAUGCUAGUCAACGUCAGAAGUGAGAUUCAAAGGCAUCUGACAGCUAUGCUUCUACCAAAUAAGGAGCAGGUGAAAUAGUAAGGUGAAGAAGAAUCUCAGGAGCUAGAUCUUUUGGUCAUGGGGCUUCCCAGAGUUGAGGAUAGAAGCAUGGAGUGCUGGCCUAGAUAAUCAAGUGAUUCAAGCAAGACCUAAGUAGCAGAGGAAGUGACAAUUAGAAGACCCAGACUGGGAAACCAGGGUUCCCUGAACCAGAGUGGUUCAGAGGCAAGUUUUGCAGACAGGGUAUGAAGCUGAGAAUUUAAAAAUGAGCUAAACAAGAAAAUGUAAGCAGAUUAUCAGGGUGGAAGGGAGACCCAGAUUAUGGGUUCCAAGCUAUUUUUAGGAUACCCAUUGAUUUUCAUAGGUUUUUCUGUUUGCUUGUUUUGGUUAUGAGCAGGACAAAGGGGAUUUAUGUUCUAAAUAAAACGUACAAGGUAGAAUAAUUAUUGGGCACCCUCCCUUUUGAAAACAUAGAUUAAAAACGUAUUAUUGGAAAGCAAACUAUGCACUAGAAAUUAGGUGAAAUUUUUGCUCUCUUUUUAACUUUUUGAAACACAGCUAUGCAUACUUAUUGUAAAAACAGAGCGAUUGUGUUUUUUUCUUUGUUUGUGUGAGAGAGAGAGGAGGAGAAAUGGAGAGUAUAAAGUUCUUUUGUUUUGGUACCUUUUUACCCUAAUCAAAUUCCCUCUUGUAGAGCCUCCACUGUGAAUAAGAAAUAUCACUAUUGCAAGAUUCAUAAUAUUCCAUUUAUUUGAUAUAAGGCAGGACACAUUUCUUUUUUUCUGACUACUGGAAGAGACUCGUCUUUUGUUCUUUCAUGAACUAAUCUUCUCAAAGCUUCCUUUACUCUUGACUUGUGUUUCCAGACCAGAAAUGUACUCAGAUUCAAAUCUAGGGGCAGUGCUAAGUCAACGAAAAGUGUACAUGGUCUUCUAUUGUGCUAUUUUGUUUGUUUUGACACUGUAGCCUUCUGUGUGGGUGGAACUCGGCUAGUUCAUGCUGUACUGUUCACAGAGGGAAAUAUUGGGGUCACGAGAAGCUGUUUUACAGACGGCAGCCCACCAGGCUCCCCUGUCCCUGGGAUUCUCCAGGCAAGAACACUGGAGUGGAGCUUGGAGAAGAACUCAGCUGGAACCAGGAAUGAUGGAGAAGAAAGGCUAAUGAACAGAAUGUUACUAACACCACUGAUCAGUUGCCUUGUUGUUUUUGAUUUUGGUACUGCCACAAGCACCACAUAAAAGCGGAGAUGAUUCACAUGUUUAAUAUGAUAAAGCGCAUAUUAAAGUUUAGAUGCUUUCAGAUUUUCUAAGUCCAGCUAAGGAAGGCUACAGAGGCCAACAUUUAACCACCCUAGGGCUCAGCAAGCACCUUGUCACAACCUAAGUACUAAAGAAAAUGGUACAGUGAAAUAAAAUUUUGAGAAGUUAUAAUAAAUAAGACACUUGCUGCCUCA
ensembl:lncRNA